rnacentral:misc_RNA from 1 species
CAUACAGAGUUAAUCCAAUACCACCCAUAACCCUCCUUAUAUAUUGAGCCAAGUUGGCAAGCAUGUCAUCCACUUUUCCCAAGCUAAUUGCUUUGAGAUUGGGGGUGCCUCAUGUUGGUCUAAAUGUUCCUACCACCUACAGAUGGGCCAUCAACCCCUACCCUCUUUUAAAGCAAACUUAGAUAGUUUUUAAGGAUCCUAAUCACACCAAAACCACCCAAUUAACCACUUAUAUGCUUCCUACCAAACCUAAGGUUUUGCACAACUUAUUACUUUUAAGAUUACAUUUAGGAUUGGCCAUAAGACAAACCUCACCUACUUUCAUAUGUUUCUCAUUACUUGCCUUUUAGAG